rnacentral:lncRNA from 1 species
GACCUUCUGAACAAAGGCCUGGAUGACCAACUUCUCCUGCCUGGCAGUGACCAGUUUGACAGCGUACUCUGCGGGCUGGUCACUGACGUGGACCUAGAUGGACAACCGGAAGUCCUGGUGGCCACCUAUGGACAGGAGCUGCUUUGCUAUAAGUACCAUGGACUGCCAGAGGCCAGCAGAGGCUUCCGCCUGCUGUGGCGAAGGAGCUUCGCCAGCCCCCUGCUGGCCAUGGCCCAUGUGGACCUGACUGGAGAUGGCCUGCGGGAGCUGGCUGUGGUAUCCCUGAAAGGGGUGCACAUCCUCCAGCCUGAUCCAGGCCUCUGAGCUGGUCUUGACACGGCUUCGUCAUCAAGUGGAGCAGAGGAAACAUCAGCAGGGCCUUGGGGACAAGGCGGGUCCCAGACCUGAGGAGCCCCCAGCCUCCUGAGCACUCCCUCUUCUCAGGUGUAGGCCCCUCGUGUCUAUCAUUGAUGGGGAAGGAAGCAUCUCAGAAGACAAAUGUGCCCCUUGGACUCCCCGAGAAGGAGGUUGCUGAGAGUCCCUGACCCACCCCAGUGUGCUGUGUGACCCUAACCAUUUGAAAAGGGGCGGAAAAGGAACGUUCUCAGCCUACCACUGCAAUCCCAUCAGGUGUUGGUCCCUGAAGACUAUUCACACAUGCAGAGC